rnacentral:rRNA from 1 species
AUUGAACGCUGGCGGCAUGCUUUACACAUGCAAGUCGAACGGCAGCGCGGGCUUCGGCCUGGCGGCGAGUGGCGAACGGGUGAGUAAUGCAUCGGAACGUGCCCAGUAGUGGGGGAUAGCCCGGCGAAAGCCGGAUUAAUACCGCAUCCGACCUGAGGUUGAAAGCGGGGGACCGAAAGGCCUGGCGCUAUUGGAUCGGCCGAUGUCGGAUUAGCUAGUUGGUGGGGUAAAGGCUUACCAAGGCGACGAUCCGUAGCUGGUCUGAGAGGACGACCAGCCACACUGGGACUGAGACACGCCCCAGACUCCUACGGGAGGCAGCAGUGGGGAAUUUUGGACAAUGGGGGCAACCCUGAUCCAGCCAUGCCGCGUGCGGGAAGAAGGCCUUCGGGUUGUAAACCGCUUUUGUUCGGGAAGAAAUCCUCUGGGCUAAUACCCCGGGGGGAUGACGGUACCGGAAGAAUAAGCACCGGCUAACUACGUG